rnacentral:rRNA from 1 species
CAAAGGUAGCAUAAUCAUUAGUUUUUUAAUUGAAAACUGGAAUGAAAGGUUGGUCAAAGGAAAAGCUGUCUUCAAUAAUAAUAAUUGAAAUUUACUUUUAAGUGAAAAGGCUUAAAUAUUUUAAAGGGACGAUAAGACCCUAUAAAGCUUUAUAUAUUAUUUAAAUUUGAUCAAUUUAGCUUAUAAAGGUUAAAGUUAUUUUUUGUAUUUUGUUGGGGAGAUGUGAGUAUAAUUGUUUAUAACUGCUUAGGUUAAAUACAAUAAUAAGUGAGUAAAAAGUGAAUGAUCCUUUAUAAAGAUUAUGAGAUCAAGUUACUUUAGGGAUAACAGCGUUAUUUCUUCUUGAGAGUUCAUAUCGAAAGAGAAGUUUGCGACCUCGAUGUUGAAUUAAAAUGUCUUUGUAGUGCAGCCGCUGCGAAAGAAGGUCUGUUCGACCUUUAAAUUUUUACAUGAUUUGAGUUAAAACCGGGAUUC